rnacentral:rRNA from 1 species
AGAGUUUGAUCCUGGCUCAGAUUGAACGCUGGCGGUAUGCUUAACACAUGCAAGUCGAACGGAAACGAAACUAGCUUGCUAGUAGGCGUCGAGUGGCGGACGGGUGAGUAACGCGUAGGAAUCUGCCUGAUAGUGGGGGAUAGCCCGGAGAAAUUCGGAUUAAUACCGCAUAAUCUAUUCGUAGUAAAGUGGGGGACUUUCGAGCCUCACGCUAUCAGAUGAGCCUGCGUAAGAUUAGCUUGUUGGUAGGGUAAAAGCCUACCAAGGCAACGAUCUUUAGCUGGUCUGAGAGGAUGAUCAGCCACAUCGGGACUGAGACACGGCCCGAACUCCUACGGGAGGCAGCAGUGGGGAAUAUUGGACAAUGGGGGCAACCCUGAUCCAGCAAUACCGCGUGUGUGAAGAAGGCCUGAGGGUUGUAAAGCACUUUCAAUUGUGAAGAAAAGUUAACGGUUAAUAACCGUUGACCUUGACGUUAACUUUAGAAGAAGCACCGGCUAACUCCGUGCCAGCAGCCGCGGUAAUACGGAGGGUGCAAGCGUUAAUCGGAAUUACUGGGCGUAAAGCGUGCGUAGGCGGUUUAUUAAGUCAGAUGUGAAAGCCCCGGGCUUAACCUGGGAACUGCAUUUGAAACUGGUCAACUAGAGUAUGGUAGAGGAAAGUGGAAUUUCUGGUGUAGCGGUGAAAUGCGUAGAUAUCAGAAGGAACAUCAAUGGCGAAGGCAGCUUUCUGGACCAAUACUGACGCUGAGGUACGAAAGCGUGGGUAGCAAACAGGAUUAGAUACCCUGGUAGUCCACGCCGUAAACGAUGAUAACUAGCCGUUGGGGGGAUUUACCCCUUAGUGGCGAAGCUAACGCGUUAAGUUAUCCGCCUGGGGAGUACGGCCGCAAGGCUAAAACUCAAAGGAAUUGACGGGGACCCGCACAAGCGGUGGAGCAUGUGGUUUAAUUCGAUGCAACGCGAAGAACCUUACCUGGUCUUGACAUCCUGCGAACUUUCUAGAAAUAGAUUGGUGCCUUCGGGAACGCAGUGACAGGUGCUGCAUGGCUGUCGUCAGCUCGUGUCGUGAGAUGUUGGGUUAAGUCCCGUAACGAGCGCAACCCCUAUCCUUAUUUGCCAGCACAUUAUGGUGGGAACUAUAAGGAGACUGCCGGUGAUAAACCGGAGGAAGGCGGGGACGACGUCAAGUCAUCAUGGCCCUUACGACCAGGGCUACACACGUGCUACAAUGGGAAGGACAAAGAGCCGCGAAGCCGCGAGGUGUAGCUAAUCUCAUAAAUCUUUUCGUAGUCCGGAUUGGAGUCUGCAACUCGACUCCAUGAAGUCGGAAUCGCUAGUAAUCGUAGAUCAGAAUGCUACGGUGAAUACGUUCCCGGGUCUUGUACACACCGCCCGUCAUACCAUGGGAGUGGGUUGCACCAGAAGUGGCUAGUCUAACUUUGUGAGGACGGUCACCACGGUGUGAUUCAUGACUGGGGUAAAGUCGUAACAAGGUAACC